AUGGAGGUCUCAGCCAGGCUCCGCCCGCCGUCUCCCGCCUCGACGGCGCUGCCCCGCCACGGCGGAGGGUCCCUGCGGCGGCUGCUCCCUUCGGCCCGGCCCGCCUCCCGAGCGGUCUCCGCCAAGAUGCUUCCCUCCUCCCCUAUCUUGUGGGUUGCGGGGCGCAGGGGGGGAUUAAUCGGUUGGAUCGAGCUCGAAAUGCGGCGGCGGCGCGGCGGGCGGGGAUCGGGCGGCGAUUUGGUCAGAGUUUGA
rnacentral:rRNA from 1 species